rnacentral:rRNA from 1 species
GACGAACGCUGGCGGCGUGCUUAACACAUGCAAGUCGAACGAGAAAGCCCUUCGGGGUAAGUACAGUGGCGAACGGGUGAGUAACACGUGGGCAACCUGCCCCAGAGAGCGGGACAACCCGGGGAAACCCGGGCUAAUACCGCAUGAUGCGUCUCCACUUAAGUGGAGCCGCCAAAUGGUAGAUUCGGCCUCCGCUCUGGGAUGGGCCCGCGCCGGAUUAGCUAGUUGGUUGGGGUAACGGCCCACCAAGGCGACGAUCCGUAGCUGGUCUGAGAGGAUGAUCAGCCACACUGGGACUGAGACACGGCCCAGACUCCUACGGGAGGCAGCAGUGGGGAAUCUUGCGCAAUGGGCGAAAGCCUGACGCAGCAACGCCGCGUGGGGGAAGAAGGCCUUCGGGUUGUAAACCUCUUUCAGUAGGGACGAAGCUUCCGGGGUUAAUAGCCUACGGGGUGACGGUACCUACAGAAGAAGCCCCGGCUAACUACGUGCCAGCAGCCGCCGUAA